rfam:Intestinimonas butyriciproducens strain AF211, complete genome.
UAUAUUGUCAUAUGUACAAGUUCCGGUUUUUACCGGUGAAAAUGGAAGCGGGUGAGAAUCCCGCGCGGUCCCGCCGCUGUAUGCGCAUCAGGCCCCUCCAUUGUUGCCACUGAGAAUGUUCACAUUCUUGGGAAGGCGGAGGUUUCGCUGCGUAAGCCAGAAGACAUGCUUGUAUAUCUCUUGUCUG